GUUGAGAACCGUUACUUGACUGGUACCUCCAGCCCACCAGCAGGCAAUGAUGGCAUCAGACUAGAGGAUCACCAGUAAAUCAUUGUAAACAAGCGUGGAAAGAGAGAAAGUCCACUUUAAGCGAUGGAAAAUCAGCCCCAAUUCUGAAGGAACAACCAUGAACAGAUGAUUUAAGGAGAAUCAAUUCUUUGCUCUUUGCAGAAGGAGCCAACAGAGUGAGAUGAAGGGGACAACUUCAGAUACUCAGGCAGAAGGAAUUCUGCAGGUUCUUGCAGGACUCCACAUAUUGUCUAUCACAGCAUAUUGCAGACAGGUUCCCAGGAAGCAGAUUCUGAGUUGGUGAUUUGCAUGCAGGAAGUUUAUGGAGAAUUGUUUCUGAAAUCAGCUCCUGUGGGGAAAUGAAGACAGCAGGACUGGGCAAAAGGAAACAUUGAACUGGGAUGAGAUCACAAAGAAGGCAUCAGGGAGGGCUGGAGCCAGACUGGGACUUCAGAGUGGCCCCACAUUGAAGAAGAGAAGCUUGGUUUUUAAACUCACACUCUCUCCCCAACCAGGACAAGUUAUGCAGGUGGUCCCCCAGAAGAAACUGUGACUUUGGAGUUGGUGGCGUUUUUCAGCAAAUGGCAAUUCCCAAAAAGGGAUCCAGCUGCAUGCAGUUGCUGUCAAUGCUCUCAGCAGCUGAGGGAAUGAGUGCCUGCGUCAUGGAGAGGAAUGCAGGUGGUACGCCCCGACACUCACUACACUGUCAAGCACAAGAGGGCAUUUCUAGCAACUCAGUUGGAAACGCUCUCAAUGAUGUUUAACAAAAGGAUAGAAUUACUUAUGGUGGCAGAAUAAUGGCCCCUGAAGAUAUCUAUGCUGUGAUUCCCAAAGCCUGUGACUAUGUUACAUUACAUGGCAAAAGGCCUUUGCAGAUGUGAUUAAGGUUAAGGACCUUGAGAUGGGUUGAUUAUCCUGGAUUAUAGAGUGAACUUGGCUCCAUGCAUUGAUGGAGAAGAAAGACACCCGAGGGCUCCAUUCUGCAGGAUGAGUCUGCAGGGAUCUCCUUGCCAGCUAUGGAAGUCAGUAUGACAGCUUCAGCUACCUACAGUCCACUUGCCAGGAAAAAAGCAGAGUUCUCUAUGACCAUGUUGGAGAAGCACCGAACCCAACUUUAGAUGGUCAGGGAAGAAUUCUCCUAAGAAACAACACUGAAACUGAGACUUAAGAAUGCAUAGAAAUUGUCUAGACAAAAAGAGUAAUGGCAAAGACUGUUCCAAGCAAAUGGAAUGUGGACAACUGCAGAGGCAACACAUAAGUCCCCACCUGCUGACCUGCUGCCUGCUAUCUUAACACGAAUUCUUCAUCUGAAUGGAUGAGCUUUUCACAGAGUUCCAAACUAAGGAAUCCAGGAGUGGCCAAUCCAGAGAUUCAUUCCUUAUCUUUGACGAACAUCUGAACUCCUGGCUCAUCCUGUGGAAUUCAGGCCAUACAGGAGAUCAAGGUCAUUUGCUUUGGGUUAAAUGAAUGUUGCCAGGUGGAGGUUGCUAGAGGGAGAGUGCUAUGUGAAAGUGCUGUAUAAACUGCUUGCUUUUCACAAACAGUAGUGAUUCUUUAUCCUGUCCAGCCUGCCACAACUGGACCAUCCUGUAUGUAAGUCCCCUUAAUAAAUCCUGUGUCUCAUUCACUGGCUUCAAGUCUCUUCCUGGGCCUCUUGAACGUGGUGCCACCUGUAUUGAAGUCAACAGAAGUUCAGCACAACACAGGUCAAAAUGAAGAUUCUGACUCAGUAGGUCAGGAUGUUCUAACGAGCUCUAGCUGACAUGAUACGUCAGGGCUGCAGACUAGCUUUGAGCAACAAGGUGCUAGAGAAAUACCUAUAG
rnacentral:lncRNA from 1 species